rnacentral:lncRNA from 1 species
ACAAUUCAUUCAUCUCCUUACAAUUAAGACAUCUUCCUACAACCCAUUCUCAAUUCUUCAUUCUUCUACUCUUAAAUUCCACAACAAGAGAAUCGUUACUUGCUACGGAAUCACUAAAACCACACGCCAAACACCUACUAUUCACGCCAUCCACCAUGCAAAACGUGAUAUCCUUCGCAUUCAUGGGUAACUAAAUCUCUUAGUUGGGGUUAUGGAAGCCGAAUGAGUUACUAUCUAUAGCUAUGAGUUUGUGAGUUCAAGACAAGUAUAUUGCUUAUAUCAUUAUUCUCUUCAUCUUAAAUCUACAUUCUUUGCGGUUCAAACACAAGAACACGCCAUUCUAACAUCUAACCUGUUCGAGAGAAAGGUUAUUUGUAUAGAAAAGAAGACGCAUAGACCAACGCCAGUCUAACAUCUGACUUGUUCGAGAGAAAAGUUAUUUGUCUGGAAAAGAGAUAAUGUCAAGGUAGUAGGACACCCUUUCCUAUUAAAAAGCUAGUGCCGUACCUGGACUAACUUCUUGGAGAAUUCGUACCGUUAGUCACGCUUUAAGCUCGAGAGAGUUAAAGUGAAAUAGUCCUUGUUUAGGUCGAGAGACGCUUGGAUUUACCAUCGACUACAAUUCUCUAUAAGCAAUUACAUGUCAAGACUCUACACACUCAUAGCCAAUAGAGACGUAUACCUCAGAAGGUGGACAUAACCCCAACGCCUCAAUUCUCAUUGUUUACAACACACGUACAAUCUCUCUUUAUUUUGCUAUUUUCAGUUCUUACAUUCUUGUUUUGGUUACAUACUACAAUCCCCCCUUUCCUACGAGACUUGCACUAAAAGUCUAGUAAUUUCUCUUGCUUGUUGGCCAAGCUAUUCUCUGUGGGAUCGAUACCCAACCCAGGUUGGGUUCUAUAUUUGCUAACGACCGCUUUACACUCCCACGAGAGCUGUAGAUUGAGC